GGGAGUGCUGAGCGGUCCCUGCCCCAGCCUGAUGCCUCCCAGGCCAGGCCUGCAGACCGCUGCCCCGUGAUGGGCUGCCAGCCCGGGCCACACCUGCUCUGCUCCCCUCUCCUGACCCAGGCUCCCUGGCGCCGGGAGCUCAGCCCACCGCCCCUCACAGAGGCUCCGGACACUCUCAGAAAUCCCAGAUCCAGGCCACUGCUCUGGCUAAACACAUGAGCUCAUGCCAGUCGGAUCCAGACCUGCCCUCCCAAGUCUUACGUUGGCAAAACAAGAGGCAAGAUUCCUGCCCGCGCAAAGGUCAAACAGCGCAAGGACGUGAGAAGCUUCGGAGCCUGAGGCCUGAGGGGCAAUGGAACCCAAUGACCCCUGGACAGAAGGGGAAAGGGAGCCCUGGCCGGGCAGCUCAGCGGUUAGAGCAUCAUCCCGAUACACCAAGGUGGUGGGUUCCGUCCCCAGUCAGGGCACAUGCAAGAAGCAACCGGUGAAUUCAU